AAGUUUCUGGUAAUAAAAAAUAUUUUUUUUGAAAUUAUAAUAUUGUUGAAAAUAACAAUUUAAUUUCUAAGACAAAAAGACCCUAGAAUUUUUGUUAUACUUUGUUCUAAGUAUUUCUUUGUUGGGGAAAUAUAAAUUUUUAAAUGU
rnacentral:rRNA from 1 species